rnacentral:lncRNA from 1 species
GCGAUACAAAUUACCUGUGGAGCAGAAAACAAAGAUCUCCUGUUGGCACUCAGGCUUCCUCCUGCUCUAGUUAGAGCUGGAAGGCUGGAAGCAGGAGAGAAAGGAGGUGGAGAUGGGCAGAAAAACAAAACAAGAAUGUGGGGCACAAAAGGACAGGCAGGCAACGGCCUGGCUGCAUCGCCAUUGCCCGGGGCCCCAGGCCUCUCACUGUUCCUUGGCCUCAGUUUCCUAAUCAAUAAAUGAGGAGCCUGGACUACAUCAUUCCAAAACCUUUAUCCCUGCUCCUGGGCACUAUGACCUGGGAUUUGUGAUGGGCCAGCUGCAUAGGAGCCUCCAAGAGGCAAACAGGGUGCAGGAUGGGGCUGGGGCUGAGCUGCCGCCACAUGUGCAGU